UACGUAUGGGGCAAGCGUUAUCCGGAAUUAUUGGGCGUAAAGAGUGCGUAGGUGGUUACCUAAGCGCAAGGUUUAAUCUUGAGGCUCAACCUCAUUCUGCCUUGCGAACUGGGCUACUUGAGUGCAGGAGGGGAAAGCGGAAUUCCCAGUGUAGCGGUGAAAUGCGUAGAUAUUGGGAAGAACACCGGUGGCGAAGGCGGCUUUCUGGACUGUAACUGACACUGAGGCACGAAAGCGUGGGAAGCAAACAGGAUUAGAUACCCUGGUAGUCCCU
rnacentral:rRNA from 1 species